rnacentral:rRNA from 1 species
GAUGAGCGCUAGCUACAGGCUUAACACAUGCAAGUCGAGGGGUAACGAGAGGAAAGCUUGCUUUCCUUGUCGACGACCGGCGCACGGGUGAGUAACGCGUAUCCAACCUGCCCCCAACUAGGGAAUAACCUUGCGAAAGUAAGACUAAUACCCUAUAAUUUCCUCAGAUGUCAUCUGACGAGGAAUAAAGAUUUAUCGGUUGUGGAUGGGGAGGCGUCUGAUUAGCUUGUUGGCGGGGUAACGGCCCACCAAGGCAACGAUCAGUAGGGGUUCUGAGAGGAAGGUCCCCCACCUUGGAACUGAGACACGGUCCAAACUCCUACGGGAGGCAGCAGUGAGGAAUAUUGGUCAAUGGGCGGAAGCCUGAACCAGCCAAGUAGCGUGCAGGAUGACGGCCCUAUGGGUUGUAAACUGCUUUUAUACAGGAAUAAAGUUAGCCACGUGUGGUUAUUUGUAGGUACUGUAUGAAUAAGGACCGGCUAAUUCCGUGCCAGCCGCCGCCGUAA